GAUGAACGCUGGCGGCGUGCCUAAUACAUGCAAGUCGAGCGAACGGACGCGAAGCUUUCUUCUCUGAUGUUAGCGGCGGACGAGUGAGUAACACGUGGAUAACCACCCUAUCAGACUUGGAGAACUUCGGGAAGCCAGAGCUAAUACCGGAUAAUAUUUUGAACCGCUUGGUUCAUGAGUGAAAGACGGUCUUGCUGUCGCUUAUAGAUGGAUCCGCGCUGCAUUAGCUAGUUGGUAAGGUAACGGCUUACCAAGGCAACGAUGCAUAGCCGACCUGAGAGGGUGAUCGGCCACACUGGAACUGAGACACGGCCCAGACGCCUACGGGAGGCAGCAGUAGGGAAUCUUCCGCAAUGGGCGAAAGCCUGAUGGAGCAACGCCGCGGGAGUGAUGAAGGUCUUCGGAUCGUAAAGCUCUGUUAUUAGGGAAGAAGAUAUGUGGAAGUAACUGUGCACAUCUUGACGGUACCUAAUCAGAAAGCCCCGGCUAACUACGUG
rnacentral:rRNA from 1 species